rnacentral:rRNA from 1 species
UUUUAAGUGCGUUUAUUAAAUGCGUUUGUCUAAGAUAAUUAUUUAAGAUUAUUCUUGUAAAUAUAUUUAAAUAUUAAUAAUUCUUAAAAUAAAAAAAUAUCCUCAAUUGCAAUAUUAUUGUAGCAUAGUAAUUUGUUAACUAAAUAUUAAAGUGUUCCAUAGAAAAUUUUUAAAUUACAACAAAUAAAAUAAAGUAUGAAUUAAUAUCAAAAUUUUAAUAAAAAUUAAAAAAUUAAAAUAGGGCAAGUCCUACUCUCCUUUACAAAGAGAACAUUAUGAUAUGUAAUUGUAUGUUUGAUUGGGGCAAUACUAUAUUUAUUUAUAUAGCAUAAGAACUAUAUUCUUUGAAAUUAUAAAAGGUUCGAGCAGGUUAACAAGCAUUAAAAAUAAAUGUGUUUCAUCGUCUACUUAUUACCAUGAUUGAUUGUUCAUCAAAAUAGUAAUUCGUUAGUUGGGUUAAAAUCGUUGUAAAGCAGAUUUGUUUAUAUAUUUAAUUUUUAUAAUUAAUAAUAAUUAAUAUAAGUACGCAAGGAUUGAUUAUUGAAAAAAGAAAGAAGAAU